UACGUAGCAGCGAGCGUUGUUCGGAGUUACUGGGCGUAAAGAGUGCGUAGGCGGUUUUCUAAGUUUGGUGUGAAAUCUCCCGGCUUAACUGGGAGGGUGCGCCGAAGACUGGAAGGCUUGAGUAUGGGAGAGGUAAGCGGAAUUCCUGGUGUAGCGGUGAAAUGCGCAGAUAUCAGGAAGAACACCAAUGGCGAAGGCAGCUCUCUGGGACGGUACUGACGCUGAGACGCGAAAGCGUGGGGAGCGAACAGG
rnacentral:rRNA from 1 species